ACAUCCAGAGAACUUAGCAGAGAUGCUUUGGUGCCUUCGGGAACUCUGAGACAGGUGCUGCAUGGCUGUCGUCAGCUCGUGUUGUGAAAUGUUGGGUUAAGUCCCGNAACGAGCGCAACCCUUAUCCUUUGUUGCCAGCGGUUCGGCCGGAACUCAAAGGAGACUGCCGGUGAUAAACCGGAGGAAGGUGGGGAUGACGUCAAGUCAUCAUGGCCCUUACGGCCAGGGCUACACACGUGCUACAAUGGCGCAUACAAAGAGAAGCGACCUCGCGAGAGCAAGCGGACCUCAUAAAGUGCGUCGUAGUCCGGAUUGGAGUCUGCAACUCGACUCCAUGAAGUCGGAAUCGCUAGUAAUCGUAGAUCAGAAUGCUACGGUGAAUACGUUCCCGGGCCUUGUACACACCGCCCGUCACACCAUGGGAGUGGGUUGCAAAAGAAGUAGGUAGCUUAACCUUCGGGAGGGCGCUUACCACUUUGUGAUUCAUGACUGGGGUGAAGUCGUAACAAGGUAGGCGUAGCGAG
rnacentral:rRNA from 1 species